ensembl:lncRNA
ACCCAGUACUUAGCACAGAGGUGCUCAAAAAAUGUUCAUGGACUGAAGAAUCUCUUCCUUGGAGCCACCUGCAAAGCCCCAGACAUCAGUUAUCCAGAAAUCGAGAGGAGGAAGGGUGGCAAUCUCAAGAGUUUGAAGUGGAGGCAAAGAGCCCCCAGGGUGGGCAAACCCAGCGCCCCAGGUAGACCAUUUGGCUGUGGUGAGCCUCUCGGAGAGGGAAGCAGCCGGGGGCCCCUCGUGCUGUGACGGGGAAGCCCACGUCCCAGACCAUCUGUCAUCAGGUCGUUUUGCUUCACUGUGUUCCUGACAUGAAGCUCUAAAGCAAAGAGCUUCCCAAUGAGGAGAGAGAAGGUUCUCGAGUCCUGCACAUGUCUUUUCCAGUAGUCAUGAGAGCUGGACCAUAAAGAAAGCUGAGUGCCGAAGAAUUGAUGCUUUUGAACUGUGGUGUUGGAUAAGACUCUUGAAAGUCCCUUGGACUGCAAGGAAAUCCAACCAGUCCAUCCUAAAGGAGAUCAGUCUUGGGUAUUCAUUGGAAGAACUGAUGCUGAGGCUGAAACUCCAAUACUUUGGCCACCUGAUGUGAAGAACUAACUCAUCUAAGAAGACCUUGGUGCUGGGAAAGAUUGAAGGUGGGAAGAGAAGAAGACGACAGAGGAUGAGAUGGCUGGAUGGCAUCACCGACUCAAUGGACGUGAGUUUGAGGGAGCUCCAGGAUCCUGAGCCAUCUGUUUGCCCUUCCUCAGGAAGAUGGGCAUCAUUCUGUAGCAGUUUGCUCAUAGGACUCAGAACGAAUACUGAAUAUAGUUCCCUCUGCUAUAC